UUACCNGGCUAAAUCGACUGGAAACUUUCGACGAAGGUGCUGCAUGGCNGUCGUCAGCUCGUGCCGUGAGGNGUUGGGUUAAGUCCCGCAACGAGCGCAACCCNGUGUCAGUUACCAGCAUAUGGGACUCUGGCAGACUGCCUACGCAAUAGGAGGAAGGUGGGGACGACGUCAAGUCAUCAUGGCCCUUACGCCGGGCUGCACACGUGCUACAAUGGGGUACAAGGGGCAUCGCGAGGGAUGCAUUCUAUAAACCUUCUCAGUUCGGAUUGGAGUCUGCAACUCGACUCCAUGAAGGUGGAAUCGCUAGUAAUCGCGAUCAGCACGCGCGGUGAAUACGUUCCCGGGCCUUGUACACACCGCCCGUCAAGCGAUGGAAGUGGAAGACCAAU
rnacentral:rRNA from 1 species